UCUCUUGGUCCCCUUUCCAUUUGCAAAAUCCUCGUCUUUAAUGUGGGUAUAUUUAUGAUAAUAGUUCCGACCUCUGAAGGCUGUUGUGAGGAUUAAGAAGCACAUUAUACAAACGUUAACUUUCAUUUAAAUUUUCACGUUAAAAUAUCGUGCAAGUUCUUUGAAAUCUUGGUUCUAUGCAGAAACCUGUUCACAGGGCUCCUGAACGGCCCGGAGUCGGUUUCUCGGCGGGAGCUGAGCUGGCGCUGACCUAGGAGGGAUCCCCGGGGGAGGAGGCCCUGCCCACCUCCUUCCCUCCGCCUGGCUGGGGCAGUCUCGCUCAAGCUACGAGAGAGAAGUCAGACGCAGAACCCUGGGUUCAUUUGACUACAGCUGGGACCCAGCCUAGGGAGAGGAUUCAAAUUGGUAAGCACGUGGCACAGCCUGCCACUCUGGCGCCAGGGCCGGGACGGCUGGCAGGCAGGGGAUCCAGCUCCAAAUUCUGCUUUAGAGCCUGAUUCCUGGGACCGUUUGCAAUACCACCUGUCUUCGGUCGGGGUUCCCUGGACUCCGAGUUGGCGUCUAUGUGCAGGAGGAUCAUUGGGGUGUGCGCUUGUGAACCCAGCUGGACGGAGUGCUGAAGUCAGCGCUGGGUAGAGAGAUGUGGAGCUGUGAGCAGUUUGCGGUAGAGAUCUCUUGAUCCCGCGGGGACUGAGGAGAAGUGAAGGAAGGGGCACGGACUGUUACACCCUCUUAUUGACUCGUCGUUAAGUGUGGCAGGCGAAGACUCUGGCGAGGGCAGGUCUUUUGGCCAAAAGCCAGAUACAGAGAGGGACUCAACUGUGAGCCCAAGCAAACAGGAGCACCUCAGCAGCUGCCCUUGUCCUGGAGCGGGGAUCUGCAGGACCUUUCCAUUUCGUAACAUCAGGUAAGCAUCCACCAGGUUCUGCAACGUAAAUUUCAACUGCUGAAGAAAGUGACCAGGGUGCGUUCUUUCUUGUCAUUAUUCAAAAUUCGCAAUCAUGCGCUCGCUUCGGCAGCACAUAUACCAAAAUUCGCAAUCAUGACCUGUUGAUCCACAGUCUUAUGUCCCACCACACUGACCAGGGAAGAUUUCGAUAUGCCUAGCAGGACCUUGCCUUGAGCACCUAGCAUAUGUUAGGUUGCCUACCUCACAUACAGGAAGACUUGAAAACCAUUUCAGAGAACUCUUUCCUUCUUGGGGUUUUUGAUCAAUAUGACACGUACCUAUCUGUAGCUCUUAAAGGUGCAUUAGUCUAAUACCAGGAAGUAUGACUUCAUACUGUGGUUUAAUUACUUUGUUCCUUGAGGAAAUCCUGCUUCUUACAAAAGUAUGUACCCCUGUCAGCAUUACUCAGUGACCUGCGCUUAAUGGAGAAGAGCUUUUGUAGAUUAUGUGAAAAUAAAUAUUUCUACCUGGGAUUAUAAUUUAUAGUCUUUUAAAAACA